rfam:Marchantia polymorpha subsp. polymorpha scaffold3789, whole genome shotgun sequence.
GGUUUCAUGGUGUAGUGGUUAUCACGUCUGCUUUACACGCAGAAGGCCGCGAGUUCGAACCUCGCUGAAACCU